GCUCAGCCGUAAACUUAGACAUCCAACUACAAUAGAUGUCCGCCAGGGUACUACGAGCAUUAGCUUAAAACCCAAAGGACCUGACGGUGUCUCAGAUCCCCCUAGAGGAGCCUGUUCUAGAACCGAUAACCCCCGUUCAACCUCACCACUUCUAGCCAACCCAGCCUAUAUACCGCCGUCGUCAGCUUACCCUGUGAAGGUAAUAAAAGUAAGCAAAAUGGGUACAACCCAAAACGUCAGGUCGAGGUGUAGCGCAUGAAGUGGGAAGAAAUGGGCUACAUUUUCUAACAUAGAAUAUUACGAACAUGCACCAUGAAACAGUGCUUGAAGGAGGAUUUAGUAGUAAAAGGGAAAUAGAGUGUCCCUUUGAACCCGGCUCUGAGACGCGU
rnacentral:rRNA from 1 species